GAUGAAGAACGCAGCGAAAUGCGAUAAGUAAUGUGAAUUGCAGAAUUCAGUGAAUCAUCGAAUCUUUGAACGCACCUUGCGCCCUUUGGCCAUUCCGAAGGGCAUGCCUGUUUGAGUAUCAUGAACACCUCAACUCUUUAUGGUUUUCCAUGAUGAGCUUGGACUCUGGGGGUUUUGCUGGCUCACAGUCGGCUCCUCUAAAAUGAAUCAGCUUACCAGUGUUUGGUGGGUAUCAUGGGUGUGAUAACUAUCUACGCUUGUGGUUUUUCCACCAGGUAACCUUCAGCAGUGGAGGUUCGCUGGAGCUCAUAGAUGUCUCUCCUCCGUGAGGACAGCCCUUUGAAUGUUUGAUCUCAAAUCAGGUAGGACUACCCGCUGAACUUAAGCAUAUCAAUAAGCGGAGGA
rnacentral:misc_RNA from 1 species